CGGGACGGGUGAGUAACGCGUGGGUAACCUGCCUCAUACAGGGGGAUAACAGUUAGAAAUGACUGCUAAUACCGCAUAACCCGAUAGGAUCGCAUGAUCCAGACGGAAAAGAAUUUAUCGGUGUGAGAUGGACCCGCGUCUGAUUAGCUAGUUGGUGAGGUAACGGCCCACCAAGGCGACGAUCAGUAGCCGGCCUGAGAGGGUGAACGGCCACAUUGGGACUGAGACACGGCCCAA
rnacentral:rRNA from 1 species